rnacentral:rRNA from 1 species
GAUGAACGCUGGCGGCGUGCUUAACACAUGCAAGUCGAACGGAAAGGCCCAAGCUUGCUUGGGUACUCGAGUGGCGAACGGGUGAGUAACACGUGGGUGAUCUGCCCUGCACUUCGGGAUAAGCCUGGGAAACUGGGUCUAAUACCGGAUAGGGCCACAUUUUGGAUGGUGUGGUGGAAAGUUUUUCGGUGUGGGAUGAGCUCGCGGCCUAUCAGCUUGUUGGUGGGGUAAUGGCCUACCAAGGCGUCGACGGGUAGCCGGCCUGAGAGGGUGUACGGCCACAUUGGGACUGAGAUACGGCCCAGACUCCUACGGGGGGCAGCAGUGGGGAAUAUUGCACAAUGGGCGCAAGCCUGAUGCAGCGACGCCGCGUGGGGGAUGACGGCCUUCGGGUUGUAAACUCCUUUCGCUAGGGACGAAGCGUUUUUGUGACGGUACCUGGAGAAGAAGCACCGGCUAACUACGUG